rnacentral:rRNA from 1 species
AAAAAGCUCGUAGUUGGAUGUUGGUUAAGAGGGCGCGGUCGGCCGUUUGGUCUGUACUGCGUUGUCUUGACUUCCUGAUGAGGACAUGCUCUUGGUUAACGCUGAGACAUGGAGUCAUCGUGGUUACUUUGAAAAAAUUAGAGUGUUCAAAGCGGGCUUACGCUUGAAUAUAUUAGCAUGGAAUAACACUAUAGGACUCCUGUCCUAUCUCGUUGGUCUCGGGAUGGGAGUAAUGAUUAAGAGGAACAGUUGGGGGCAUUCGUAUUUCAUUGUCAGAGGUGAAAUUCUUGGAUUUAUGAAAAGAACGAAACCUUUCUGGGCGAAAAAAGCCAUUUUUGGCCAAAGGGAUGUUUUCAUUAAUCAAGAACGAAAGUUGGGGGCUCGAAGAUGAUUAGAUACCAUCCUAGUCUCAACCAUAAACGAUGCCGACUAGGGAUUGGUGGAUGUUAAUUGAUGACUUCACCAGCACCUUAUGAGAAAU